GACGACGACUCCUACGGGAGGCAGCAGUGGGGGAAUAUUGCACAAUGGGCGCAAGCCUGAUGCAGCCAUGCCGCGUGUAUGAAGAAGGCCUUCGGGUUGUAAAGUACUUUCAGCGGGGAGGAAGGCGAUGCGGUUAAUAACCGCGUCGAUUGACGUUACCCCGCAGAAGAAGCACCGGCUAACUCCGUGCCAGCAGCCGCGGUAAUACGGAGGGUGCAAGCGUUAAUCGGAAAUUACUGGGGACGUAAAGCGCACGCAGGCGGUCUGUUAAGUCAGAUGUGAAACUCCCCCGGGCUUAACCGUGGGAACUGCUAUUUGAAAACUGGCAGGCUUGAGUCUUGUAGGAGGGGGUAGAAUUCCAGGUGUAGCGGUGAAAUGCGUAGAGAUCUGGAGGAAUACCGGUGGCGAAGGCCGGCCCCCUGGAACAAAGACUGACGCUCAGGUGACGAAAGCGGUGGGGAGCAAACAGGAUUAGAUACCCUGGUAG
rnacentral:rRNA from 1 species